rnacentral:lncRNA from 1 species
GGGGACAGGUGCGGCAGGUCGCCUCAAACCUCUCUCUCUCUUAGGAAGUAGCCUGAAGUUUCUCUCUCUUUCUCUCUGAUUUUACUAUCUACUGGCCUCAAAGAGCCAUCUCUCUCUCUAGGGGUUACUAAUUUUGAAGCUACCUCUCUACAAAGUUGGGUUUGCCAAGGAUUUGAACCUUAUGGGGAUCAUUGGGCUUUUAUUUUUUUCCUGGGAGAUGUGCUCAAAUCGAGCUUCUUACCAUUGAUUGCAAUGACUUUCUUUGCGCAUCGUUUCUUGUUCUAUAUUUUUCUUUCGAAAUUUUGGCUAUGAUGAAUGUUUGUGCGAAUUCGUUGAUCUGGCUUCGCGCUGGCAUAUGAUUGCAAAGGAUUUCUGAGCCAAUUCUCUCUCUCUCAUUUUUUUUACCCUUCAAAAUAUAAACACCUAAUUUGCAAUUUGGCUUUUUUUUUUUUUUAUUAUCAGUAAUUGCAUUUUGGGGCCUUUUCAUGUAUAUCAAGGAUCACAACUGCGUACUUUUACUUUUGCCUAUUUAGGCUAUUAACCAGUAUUUCUUGCAAUUGAUGCUGAACUUGAAGGUUCAUUGAAUUAUAGGGAAAUUUAUGUAUAGAUCUGAAAAGAAAUUCAGCAUUACGAGAUGGUUGAUCAUUUGGUUUUGGUACAGGGAGCUCACAAUCUCCUUUGUCCCAGGUGGUUGCAAGAGUGUUGUUGACUAAAAAGUCCUUAAAAAAAAAAAAUCCUCUAAUUUUGUGAUUCAC